GAUGAACGCUGGCGGCGUGCCUAAUACAUGCAAGUCGAACGCUGGAAAUCUAGCUUGCUCGAUUGAAGGAGUGGCGAACGGGUGAGUAAUACAUAAGCAACCUACCCACGAAGACUGGGAUAAUCUCUGGAAACGGGGACUAAUACCGGAUAGGUAAUCGGAAGGCAUCUUCUGAUUAUUAAAGGUUAAAAACACUGGUGGAUGGGCUUAUGGCGCAUUAGUUAGUUGGUGAGGUAACGGCACACCAAGACGAUGAUGCGUAGCCGGCCUGAGAGUGUGAACGGCCACAUUGGGACUGAGACCCGGCCCAGACUCCUACGGGAGGCAGCAGUAGGGAAUUUUCAGCAAUGGGGGAAACCCUGACCGAGCAACGCCGCGUGAGUGAUGACGGCCUUCGGGUUGUAAAGCUCUGUUGUAAGGGAAGAACGGUAGAUAGAGAAUAUCUAAAUGACGGUACCUUACCAGAAAGCCACGGCUAACUACGUG
rnacentral:rRNA from 1 species